rnacentral:rRNA from 1 species
GACGAACGCUGGCGGCGUGCUUAACACAUGCAAGUCGAGCGAUGAAGUUCCCUUCGGGGACCGGCUUAGUGGCGGACGGAUGGGUAACUAGUGGGUAACCUGUCUCCAUGAGGGGGAUAGCCACCCGAAAGGGAGAUUAAUAAAGCCUACUAUAUUUUUAAUGCCAGUUAGAUAGAUUAUAGGAGAUAUACGUUUUGCGCUGGACGUGCAGCGCAUUAGCUAGUUGGUGAUGUAACGGCUCACCAAGGCGCCGAGGCAUAGCCGAGCUGGGAGGGUGAUCGGCAACAUUGGGAGUGGGACACGGCCCAGACUCCUACGGGUGGCAGUAGUGGUGAAUGUUGCGCAAUGGGUGAGAGCCUGACGCAGCAAGGCCGCGUGAGUGAGGAAGGUCUGCAGAUCGUAAAGCUCUGUCUUCAGGGACGAUAAUGACGGUACCUGAGGAGGAAGCCACGGCUAACUACGUG